rnacentral:lncRNA from 1 species
UUUCUCUAUUAAAUCGAUGUUUAUUGCUUAAAUUUUAUCACAGUGGAGAUUAAAUUAUGCUUAAUCAUCCGGUCAGUGCUUUUGUACCUUCUGCAAUGCCAAAAAAAACCCAUUUAAACCAAGUCAUUCAUACACUCUUAAGUCUUAUUACCAUCCCACCAUUCAUUGCCUCUGUGUGCUCCUUUAGUUGCCACAGACUUCAAGAUUGUAAAAAGGUAUAGCUAAUAGGCUUAUUUAUAAUACCAUUUUCUUCAAGUAUUCAGAAAGCAGUACAAGUAGCUGUACUGUACAUAAGAAACAUAUCUGUACUGUUAUUUAUUGCUACAGGAUAGAGGCUCCUGAUGGAAUGAUAGUGAAAUACUGCAUCACUGUGUAUGAAGAUGAUCUCAGCAUCCUGUAAUCGUCACAACUCUUCCCAUGUUAGUGAACAACACUAGAUAAAUGGGCUUCUUUCCUUUCUCCUUCAGGCAUGGGAUUUCAAACUACAAAUAAAUAAAGCAUACACUCACAACAUGUGUAGUGCAAAUUCCAAGUAAACAGAAUGACAUGGAAAUAAACUCAUAGUUGCCAACUUUGGUACAGCAGGGCAGUGAUGAUUUUAUGCCCAGCGCCCUGCAUCCCCAACCUUGGUGCACACCACCGCCGGCGUCCCGUGUCGGCGACAAUGAUUGAAAGAGAUUGUUGCAGGGGAAGGGGGAGAUGACCGCUUCUGCAAACCUUCCUCUGGGGCGGCCAGGCUUCACCCCACACGUCCCGCCAGCCCUCGGAAGGAAGGCAAGGAGGCAGGCUGGUCACCUACCCAGAGAGCAGCCCCGCAUCAAAGAAUGCGGAUUGGCAACUAUGUGAAACAGGGAUUGCAUGGCCCAGACUAAUAGAAGGUAAUAUUUUUCCAGAUACAACCAUUGAAAGAGAACAUCUACAACAUUGUGAUUUAGAAAGAACUUAAUACUAAUGAGAAUUAAUAGGAAAAGACAUUCAGCUCUGGGGUGGGGGGAUGUUUGUGGUUUU